UCACUUAAGGUCACCCCUCUCUUGGGCACUAAAACUUGGAGUUAGAAUUUGGACUGCAAGGUUGGACAUAAAGCUUGAAAAAGCGUUUUCAUUUGAUUUCUCUGAUUCGUUGUAUACACUGAAUUAUUUUUUUCCCUUUUAAAACCUUGCAGUCCGGGACGUGGACGUAUUUAAGAGCUCCUCCGGUGUUGGGCAUAGUAGUUGCCGAACAGCAUUUCACUUUACUAAGAUCAUCUGAAAAGAAAUAAGAACGGAGAAGGAUUACACGUGUUUUCCUUUUCUUCUUGUUCUCAUUAUCUUUCUGUAUUUGUGCUUCAAAGAUUUUCAGGUAGAACUCUCCGGGCUGCCGUGAGAUAAUUUCCCCGACUCCAAUCCGCCGUCUCUCACAAAGGGUAAGGAGGAGGCUCGGGGAGAGCCAGGGACCGGCUCAAGGUCCAGUGACAAUGGCUGAAACAUGUCACAUGGGUCCCGAGCUAUUUACUCACCGAGCGUUCCUUGAUGCUGUGCCUGGAACAUCACCUGGUUUUGCAGGUAAAGAGAUCUUGGAAACGAC
rnacentral:lncRNA from 1 species